rnacentral:rRNA from 1 species
AUUCGAACCACCUAACGAGGAACGAUCGGAGGGCAAGUCUGGUGCCAGCAGCCGCGGUAAUUCCAGCUCCAAUAGCGUACGUUAAAGUUGCUGCAGUUAAAAAGCUCGUAGUUGAACGUUCGGGUUCCGCGGGACGGGGCCGCCCCGCGAGGGACGGCGCCGCCCCGGGGCUCGUGAUAUCUUAUCUCGCCGCCCGUCGCGAGGCGGACGGAGGGAUGGAUGAGGUUACCUGGAAAAAAUCGGGGCGAUCUAGGCGGGCGAACCUCGCCAACGAACGAUCGGACAUGGGAUAACGGAAGAGGGCGUCGGCUCGACUUCGUCGGUUCCUCGGGCCGAGGCACGUACGGUGAAUAGGGACGGUCGGGGCCGCCCGUACCGGGUCGUUAGAGGUGAAAUUCUAGGAUCGACCCGAGACGAACUGCCGCGAAAGCAUUCGGCAAGGACGCUUUCAUUAAUCAAGAACGAAAGUCGGGGGAUCGAAGACGAUCAGAUACCGUCGUAGUCCCGACCGUAAACGAUGCCGACCGAGGGCCCGGAGGAGUUACGUACGACCCU